rnacentral:rRNA from 1 species
GAUGAACGCUGGCGGCGUGCCUAAUACAUGCAAGUCGAGCGAACAGACGAGGAGCUUGCUCCUCUGACGUUAGCGGCGGACGGGUGAGUAACACGUGGAUAACCUACCUAUAAGACUGGGAUAACUUCGGGAAACCGUAGCUAAUACCGGAUAAUAUAUUGAACCGCAUGGUUCCAUAGUAAAAGACGGUUUUGCUGUCACUUAUAGAUGGCUCCGCGCGGCAUUAGCUAGUUGGUAAGGUAACGGAUUACCAAGGCAACGAUGCGUAGCCGACCUGAGAGGGUGAACGGCCAAACGGGAACUGAGACACGGUCAAGACUCCUACGGGAGGAAGCAGUAGGGAAUCUUCGGCAAUGGGCGAAAGCCGGACGGAGCAACGCCGCGUGAGUGAUGAAGGUCUUCGGAUCGUAAAACUCUGUUAUUAGGGAAGAACAAAUGUGUAAGUAACUAUGCACGUCUUGACGGUACCUAAUCAGAAAGCCACGGCUAACUACGUG